AACGCACCUUGCGCUCCUUGGUAUUCCGAGGAGCAUGCCUGUUUGAGUGUCAUGGAAUUCUCAACUUAUAAAUCCUUGUGAUCUAUAAGCUUGGACUUGGAGGCUUGCUGGCCCUUGCGGUCGGCUCCUCUUGAAUGCAUUAGCUCGAUUCCGUACGGAUCGGCUCUCAGUGUGAUAAUUGUCUACGCUGUGACCGUGAAGUGUUUUGGCGAGCUUCUAACCGUCCAUUAGGACAACUUUUUAACAUCUGACCUCAAAUCAGGUAGGACUACCCGCUGAACUUAA
rnacentral:misc_RNA from 1 species